UGGCUCAGGACGAACGCUGGCGGCGUGCCUAAUACAUGCAAGUCGAGCGGAUGAACGGAGAGCUUGCUCUCCGGAUUCAGCGGCGGACGGGGUGAGUAACACGUGGGCAACCUGCCUGUAAGAUCGGGAUAACUCCGGGAAACCGGGGCUAAUACCGGAUGGUUCCUUCCUCCGCAUGGAGGAAGGCGGAAAGACGGUUUCGGCUGUCACUUACAGAUGGGCCCGCGGCGCAUUAGCUAGUUGGUGGGGUAAUGGCCUACCAAGGCAACGAUGCGUAGCCGACCUGAGAGGGUGAUCGGCCACACUGGGACUGAGACACGGCCCAGACUCCUACGGGAGGCAGCAGUAGGGAAUCUUCCGCAAUGGACGAAAGUCUGACGGAGCAACGCCGCGUGAGCGAAGAAGGCCUUCGGGUCGUAAAGCUCUGUUGUAAGGGAAGAACAAGCAUCGGUUAACUGCCGGUGCCCUGACGGUACCUUACCAGAAAGCCACGGCUAACUACGUGCCAGCAGCCGCGGUAAUACGUAGGUGGCAAGCGUUGUCCGGAAUUAUUGGGCGUAAAGCGCGCGCAGGCGGUCCUUUAAGUCUGAUGUGAAAGCCCACGGCUCAACCGUGGAGGGUCAUUGGAAACUGGGGGACUUGAGUGCAGAAGAGGAAAGCGGAAUUCCACGUGUAGCGGUGAAAUGCGUAGAGAUGUGGAGGAACACCAGUGGCGAAGGCGGCUUUCUGGUCUGUAACUGACGCUGAGGCGCGAAAGCGUGGGCAAACAGGAUUAG
rnacentral:rRNA from 1 species